GCUCUUUGCUUGUUCCUGUCAGCUCUGCUCCCAACCUCCUUCUCUUCAUCUCUUCUCCUGGGAUUCUUAGAUUUCAACAUGACACUGCUUAGCCUGGAGGCCCACUGGGAAUCAGAAGCUCUGUAACUACUUUUGAGGCUAAGACUGUUUCUGAGAAUUUCUAUGAACAACCUCCAUACCAGGACCCAGGACCUCUUUCCAACUUUGUAUUUCCCCAGAUGUCCCAGUCAGCAUCUAUGGAAGAGUUCUGUGAGAGAGCACCACCUUCAACAAUCCCAGGAGGCUUUGGUCUUCACAUGAAUCCAUUCCCCAGAGGUCUGGCACACCCACAGGGCUCCUCUCUACCAGAAGGAAACUGGGAGUCAAACCACCAGACACUCAUAAAUCCAGAGGCGGACAUUUACUACCAGAUCAACUCUACAGCCUAACAGAAGCUGAGACCCUUUCUCCAGGAGUUCAGAGAAACUGUGCUAAGUCAUGCGCUCAGUGACAUCGAUUGACUGCGUAUUAUCAUCCAGUCGCUCCUCGUCGCCUUUGUAGACUGUGUGGUGUUCCAUUUCAGUGUGCCGAUCAGGGUCAGGCCCGUGGCUCCUACCAAAUCUGAGACUUUGGGUUCUCAUGGAUUUAAAAACAACAGCAACAGGUGAAAAGGACAGCCCUUGAGCUGAAAGUUGAGAGCCAUAUUUUGAGAUCAGCAGCUGAGGGUAUCAUAACUGUGCCCGAGCACACACUGUUGGUGGCUGCAGGUGCCAGGCAGAGUCUGAGUCUCAGUUACGUGGGGCUGAGCAGGGCCCUGUGCACAAGUUCACGAGUGUUUCUGCUUAGUGGAGUCACAUGGGACUUCCCCGCCUCCAAUGUGUGACAACACAUGUGGAGCACGGCUAUGCACGGAUGCUCUCCCAAUCCUGGGUGUCUGGGUUUUUUUUUUUUUUUUUGGAAGGUCAACUUCAUCAGCAUCCACUGCCUGUGUGAGUGACCUCAGGUACCAAAGUCUCACAGCCCCCAGCGGGAGACCAGGUGUCCUCCAUAAAACUCACUGUCUGGACAAACUUGCAUAGCAUCGCCUAAGUGCAAAUCACCCUUAUUAGUUAGAACAUUGUAAGAACUCAGCUCUCAGAAGCCAGCUGAGUAUGAGUCAAGCACACAGGCCUUCCUUAGAAGUGUGCAGAGUUGGGGCAAGUUGGGCCUGCUACAUGAACUCCAAGGAGAGGGGAUGAAGACAGGACAGACUAGGGGCUGCUGGCUGAGUCUCUGGGUCUCUCCAGUGUUUGUAGUAGAGAUCAAGGA